UUCAAGGCUAUCAUCUACAGUCCUCACUCACUUUCUUUGUUCAUUUCCCUCGUAAAAGUUCUCGGCGAGGCUUGUUUAGGGUCUUCUCUCUCCGAACUCGCACCUCUCUUUGCAUCUCAGCGUGCAGAAGGUAAUCGCUUUUUCAUCUCUUAUUAGCGUGUCAUUUCUGUUGAUUUGUUGCGGCUGAACUAGCGUGUUUUGGGCUCUCUUUGUCUGAUGUGGGUGGCUGUUAACUUGGUGUGUCACCGGCUCAUAAUUGACUUCCGUAGAAAAGGGAAGCCUUUGCUUUCAGACCUUAGAUGUGACUAAUCAUGUGGCCUCUUGUCUCAUCGUUCGUUUGCAUCGUAACUUAGUGUCGAUCCUUUGUCGAGCUAGAAUGAGUUGGAAUGCGAGACGCGCUAGAUUCUAUUGCGCGCAAAAUUGACAGUAUUCGCCUCAAGCCAAGGACCGUCUUUUUACGGAUUGUGAGGUUUCUUUGUCCCUGAAGGUCUAAGGUCAAUUAAAUAAAAAAUGAAUUUACAAAAGAAAAAGUAGUAGGCCAGUUUACGGCAAGUUCCAAGAUCAGGGGAUUUCGAUUUUCAAUUCCGAAAAUUGAGAACAUGCUCUGAUAGGUAGGUUUCAGGGUUAUGGUCUGGAAUCAAUCAAUCACCCUUAAAAGCAAGUACUCUCUUAAUCAGAUUUUAUUCACAAUUUUUCCUUUGAUGAUUAUAGGACAUUCUAGAAGAAUAGUUUGUUGUCUUCCUUGAAUUAUUGGACAAGAUAAUCCUAAAAAGUAUAUUGCCUUUCACCUCUAACUCAUUUUCUUCCUUCAAAGUUUUGAAAAUCCUGAAAAAAAGGGUAAAAAAUGGUUGAAUGAGUAAUGAAGAGAAUAGUUCAGUGAUAAAAUGUCGAUCGAUUAUUCAAAUUUCAAAGUUUGAAGAGAAUAGCUCAGUGAUGUCAUAUUGGGUUAAAGUAGAUUCAUUUUGCAUGACAUUGCUAAUAUGUAAGGUCAACGGGGAACAAAUAAAAGAGAAAUAGCAAAGACCUUUUGUUCAUCUCUAUCUCAUUUCCAAAUUCAUUUAGAAUAUGACAAUUUGAAAUUAAAAUGUAAGAUCACAUUCCUAAUCACUAACAAGGCCCUUUCUUCAUAUCUUCCACACAUUUCCAAUUUCGUUUGAACUCAUUUAUCAGCUUUUAAAUGAUUUAUCAAACUAUGAUUUUUAAUAAUCAAACAAAAACAGGACCUUUGCUUAUUUAUUUUAAUGAAUGCAACUUGCUUGUACACAGAUUCUAGCUUUUUAUAGCCCAAGUAAGAAUUUAACAUCGUGAGCGGACCAAGCCAACAUCUUUCGACUUGACUAGAGGGUGAGAUACAAAAGAAGAUAAGGCAAGGACUAAAAGCAUCUGAAACUGCUUCUGUUCAAUCGAUUACAAAUUUAAUUAAAGAUUUUGAAAAAGUCUGUUCUUGCUUGGUAAAAAUAUUUUGGUGGGUCAAGACUUAUGGAUGAUUAUGUAUUUUUUUUUAAAUAAUCGUGUUUAAGCAUAAUUUUCGAGAGUUGGCUGGGGCAGGGUGUAGGGAAUAACGGAUCCCCGAAAACCGGAUUCGACACUAAAUCGAACUCCUAAAUCAAAUGCGGAAGACGAAGCCCGGGAAAACACGUAUCACCGAUCGUAAAGCACACCACGGAUUCGAGCGUACCUUGUUAGCCACAGAUUAAACACCAAUGCUGAAGAAGAGGAAGAAAUUCUGAUCCGAUGAUGUCAAUCGAAGGGACGACAGUGCCGUUUGCCUUACUGUCCUUUUUGGAGAGAGAGAGCGCGCGCGGGAGAGGGGAGAACGUACGUAACUUCUGUUUCCAACAGAUGCGUCCUCUCUAUCUCUCUCAUCCCUUUUAUACGUUCCCCCAUCCACGGGCCCUAUUCCCAUGGGCCGGGCCCUUUUGGGCCCAACUUGAGCGGAUGGGCCUUAAGCCCAUCUCAUAAAUCCAUCAUCUCCCACUCGCACAUGGUGGUCCAAAACCAACAUGGGCGGACAGGCCCUACCUAGCCCCAUCAGAGAAUAAUCCAUCAUAGACUCUUACUUAACAUGGUGGGCCGAACAGAAUCCUCUUUACCUCUCUUCAACAUUCAUACCGGUGAAUAAUCCGUGCGACCAGCAUACUUUGAGAGCUCAUUGCCAUACAUCUGUUAGGAAUAUAUAGCAGCUCAUAAUGGGCAUCACACUCCGAGUAGAUUUAGUAUGCAGUACCCUAGAUCGAUCGAUCACAUUUAUAUCUCUCUUGAUCUCUUUUAAACAAUGAUAUAUAUAUUGUAUUCACAAUUAUGAUUAUCAGAAAGACAGUCAUAAUUAGUUAACCGGUGAAUACAAAACUUCAAUGUGAUUCUCCAAAAUCGAUCUUCCUCUUUCCUUCAAACUCUCAAUUUCAGUCCAGCUUGCUUUUCUAGAAAUCCCCCAUUAGAUCGAAUCACUCAUGACCAUUGGCAACAUCCUAAGAUAGCAAACACUAAAUAGAAAUCUUGAGAAUAAGUAAGAGUCAUGAGGGGACUAAGAAAUUGAGAUCACACGACAUAAAAGUUGAGAUCAAACUUUUGCCAUUCUUAUUGGUCGUCUCAUGCAUACGUAGUAUGAAAUACGUAUUACGGUAUUAACUCCUUUCCCAUGGAGCGUAUGUCUACAUCUUCAAUAUCGUACAGAUGAUAGUUCAGACAUACCCAAUGUCUAACUUGAGUUCACGUAUCUACUCAUUCACAAAAUUCAUCAAAACUCACAUCUGGCAUCUUAGACAGAUAAAGUAAAACAUGUGGGGUAUUUUUACUUUCGGACAUAGUAAGUAUUAUGUCCUCAUCUUAACACUCAGUUAAGGCGACAUACGUGUUUUAAGCUUGAGCUCUCGAUUAUCACCUAGAUAAUAAGCUUAAAAACAGUCUCAUCUCUAUUUAUCACACAGUAAAUAGAGGCGAUUACCCGUGUGAGUGGGCUAAUCUUAUAUCUGUCCGACAUACUUCUCAACUUAAAGUAAUGCACUAAGCAUUAAGAUGCACAAAGAUCACACAUAGAUUCAUAGGCAUUAAUGAUGAAAACACAUGUUCAUCAAAUGUGAACACUUAGGGAAAUUACAAUAUUCAGUACAUCGGCCUCUACGCAAUCCUAGAGAUUUCACAUAGCCAGAAAACACAUCUCUAGGUAUUGACUUUGUCAUAGGAUCUGCUACCAAUCUUAUGCGUAGUAUGUACUAUUAGUUCACAUCAUUUUGUGUAACCAUAUUUUUAACAAAUUUAUACUUGGUAUCUACAUGUUUGGUCUUGCCUUGAUAUUUUGGAUCUUUGGUGUACGCUUUUGCUACUUGGCUAUCAUCGUUAACCAAUAACGAAUCUGCAGCACUUCCAAUAACACCUAAAUGAUCCAAAAAUCUCUUAAGCCAAACACCUUCUUAUACUGCUGCUGAUAAUGCCACGAACUCAGUUUCCAUCGUGGACAAGGCUAUACACAUUUGUUUCUUACUGCUCCAACAUAUGGUGUCAUUAUUCGGUAAGAAAACAAACCCAGAGAUAGAUUUUCUUUCAUCUAAAUCUCCUCCCCAAUCAGUAUUAGAAUAGCCUUUGAGCUGCAGAUCCUUUCCUUAAUAACUCAACAUAUAAUCAGCAGUCCCCUUUAGAUACCUUAGUAUUCUCUUAACGGCUUUCCAUUGUGCUGGACCUGGAUUGGAUUGGUAUCUACUCACCAUUCCAACUACAAAACAUAUGCCAGGUCUUGUACACAUCAUAGCGUACAUCAAGCUCCCAACAGCACUAGCAUAAGGAACAUGUUUCAUUUGUUCCUUCUCUUGUGGAGUCCUUGGACACAGUCUAUGGCUCAAUCCUUCACCCUUUGCAAUAGGAGUGUCUAUGGGUUUACAAUCUCAAAAUCUUAACUCCAAGAAUGUAUUCAACAUCACCCAUGUCUUUCAUCUCAUAGUUGGAAGACAAUCAACUCUUGACAGAAUUAACAAACUCCAUAUUGCUUCCGACAAUUAGUAUAUCAUCAACAUAUAAUGAUAUGAUCACAAAUUGAUCCUUGGAUCUUUUGAUAUAUACACAAUGAUCCUCAUCUAUCAUUGUAAAAUCAUAUGCCAUUAUGACAUUAUGAAAAAACGUAUAUAUAUCAUUGUCUUGACGACUGCUGAAGGCUAUAUAUCGACUUCAAAAGUCAACAUACAUUUUCUUCUUGGCCUUUCACUAUGAAACCAGCGGGUUGUUAUAUAUAUAUAUAUAUAUAUAUAUAUAUAUAUAUAUAUAUAUAUAUAUAUAUCUUCCUCCCAAUUCUCCAUUGAGGAAAACAGUCUUUUCAUCCAUCUGAUGUAACUCAAGAUCCAGACUAACCACUUUUGCCAGAAUAAUGUGAAUUGAGGUAAAUCUCACUACAGGAGAAAAUGUAUCCUCAUAAUCAAUUCCUUCCUGUUGAUCAUACCCCUUCGCCACAAGGUGAGCCUUAUGCCUUUCUAUCGAGCCAUCAGCCUUUCGCUUUAUUUUGAGAACCCAUUUGUUCCUAAUGGCUUUGUGUCCUUUUUGAAAAUCAACCAGUUCCCAGACUUGGUUUGAUUUCAUUGACUCCAUUUCCUCUUUCAUUACAUGAAUCCAUUUUUUCUUACUAGGGCAACUCAGAGCCUCAUUAAUAUUUCUUGGCUCAUCCUCAUCUUGUGGAGCAAUCAUAAAAGUUUCCCCUUCAAUGUCAAAACGUCGACCGGGAAUACUCUGGCGACUUGUUCGCCGUAUAGGAGAUUGUACACUUAGCACAUCAUUCCUAAUUAUGCUCCCACUCGGAUUAGAUAAUGACGAUGUCGUCUCAUCAUGUAGUUGCAAUUGAGAAUGAGUCGAAUUCAAUUCAUCACUUCUCAUAUUACUCCCACUUGGAUGAACUCCACUGACAUCAUUAUCUUGAUCCAAGGUUUCAAAUAAGAAGUAAUCUUCCUUUAUUUUGCCCUUCUUAGGAAAUUCAUCCACUAAGAAUGUGACAUCCCGUGAUUCAAAUUCAGUUAUACUCUCAUUUUCCUGCUCACCUAUGAACACAUACCCUUUCAAGUGUUCAAGAGUAUCUCAUGAAAAUACUAUUCUUUCCUUUUGGGACCCUAUUUUCCAAACUUGUGAGAGGAUUCAUGAGUACAGGCAGCACAACCCCAUGGCUUAAGAAAACUUAAGUCCGAUUUUCUACCUGUCCAUAACUCAUAUGGAGUGGAAAUAACUGAUUUGGAAGGCACCCGGUUAAGUACAUAGGCAGCAGUUAACAACGCAUCACACCAAAAAGUAAUAGGUAAGUUAGCAUGCGCCAUCAUGGACCUAACCAUUCCAGUAGGGUUCUGUUUCUUCUCUCCGCAACACCAUUUUGUUGAGGAGUAUAUGGAAUAGACAACUAUCUUUCUAUUCCUUUUUCAUCACUUAAUUUUCUGAACUCAUCAGAUAAAUAUUCUCGACCUCGAUCGGAUCUCAAUACUUUUAUUUUCUUGUCUAAUUGAUUUUCUGCAAGGUUCAUAAACCUUCUGAAACAACUUAUGCUUCAGAUUUAUGAGAAAUCAAAUAGACACAUCCGAAUGGAGUAUAAUCAUCUAUAAAAGUAAUGAAAUAAACAGCCCCAUGCCUUCCUCUCACAUUCAUUGAACCACAGACGUCAGAAUGAAUUAAAUGCAGAGGAAAUUCAGCUCUUUUACCUUUUCCAAAUGGUUUCCUUGUCGUUUUCCCUUCUAGGCAAUGCUUACAUAUGGGCAAAUCGACUUCUUCAAUGUUACCCAACAAGCCCUUUUUGGCUAGUCUUUUCAUAUGUUGCUGGCCCAUAUGACCAAGUCUAGCAUGCCACCAUAUUCAUAUCAUUAUCACAUGAAGCAGAAGACGUGAAACAAGAGAAUAACAAAUAUUGACAUCACCACAGUCAACAUUACAAUAAAACCAUCCAGAAAGUGACCACAACCAUAGUAGUUUGUAUCCAAAUACAAAUCUACACAUUUAUUACGGAAGUUCACACAAAAACCAAGCUUAACCAACAUCAAAACAGACACUUAAAUUUCGACGAAUCUCCGGAGCAUAUAGAUCAUCAUGUAGGAACAAGUUGCGUCCACCACGCAUGUUCAAUUGGCAGGUGCCAAUCUCUUUUAACUUCAUAUCUGGAGUUAUUUCCUACAUAGAUCCACUUAGUUCCAAUUGGUAUCGUCGGAAUUCCACGAAUGAUCCUCUAUCCUUCGCUACGUGGUCUGUCACUCCUGAAUCUACAGUCCACAAAGGAUUGGAUUCAGCCAAUAAUUCAGAACUUGAUACAUAAGCAAAGUUCUCAAAUGUACAAGAGGUGUAUACUUUUUUUAGCUCACGACAGUCGCGAGCAUAGUGACCUCUCUUGUCACAUUUGUAAUACCUCACCCUUGACAUUUUCUUUACUUGAGGACGUUUUCCUCUCUUGUGUUGGUUAACUCUUGAUUUCUUGCAAUAAGAACUUGAUCCUUUGUAUGCCCACAUAUUGAACGAAUCAAUACGCUUGCACUUAGAGCACAAAGCCCUUUCUGAGCUAGGACCAGCAUAGAAAAUAUCUAUUUUCGGCUCAAAUGCCGUUAGGCGGUCCUCAACUAGCUCAAGGUGGCGCACAACAUUUAUAAGAUCUUCCAUAAUAUGGUCAAGAGCUUCUAGUGCUUCUUGCUUUUCCAGCACAUAUUGAAUCCUCAUAUUUAAUAUUUCACAAUUGUUGCCGUUCAUAUCAGCAAUUACGUUCUUAAUUGCUGAAACCAUCGAUCUGAACACAUCAGACAUACAUGCACGAAUAAUUAAUGCCUAUCAUUUAUGCAUCCCUAUUUGCACAGACUCAUCAUAUUAAUAAAUAAUUUCAAGUAAGGUUUCAGAAUUAAAAGGUCACUACGUUUCCAAUCAUCCUCCAAAAUCCUAACUCAAAAUUAUUAUUAAUAUAAUUGUCUUAUGCAAAUACAUUCUAUGAAGUUACAAAAACUUCUAUAGCUACCCACAGCUAACUACCCACAGCAAUCAGCAGUAACAGAAAGCAAAUAAUAAUUUAUAUUCAACAGAAUAAUCAUACUUUCAACAUAAUACAACUAACAUAUUACACUAAGCAAUAUAUACAGAGGAAACAUAUCAUCAUGAAAAGAGAUAUUUACAUACAUAAAACAUCUCAUAAUUAAUCUAGGAAAUAAUUAGGGAAUGUCCCUUCUAAUCUAUCAGUCAUAACAUCUGAGAAAACUGAAGGCACAUUUGCCAACCAUGGAAAAAACUUUUGGAGAGCUUUCAUGUCGCCACCAAGGCGCAUUUACUCUGUGCCCUGUGACGCUUAAACUAAGGGUUGAGGUUUUGGUCAACUCAAUCCUAUAGUAUUCUCUUACAAAAGCUUCCACUAGCCUCCUAUAACCCGAGACCACGUUGACCUCCCAUAACCGAUCUAACACUGCUUGCCAUUCAGAUGGAAUAGUGUUCAUCAAAGCCAGCACAUUUUCAAAAUCCGGCAUAAGAUAACCAUUCCAGAUGAUUUCCUGUAUCAUCUAAUUAACCCUGACCACAUGUGAUACUAAAUCACCGUCAUGCCACCGAUAAUUAGCUAAAUCUGACAUCAGCCUUUUAAGCCUUGCAUUUCCCUCAUCCGUUCUCGGGAUUGCAGGUAUCCGUGCAUGACGCAUCAUAGUUCAUGCAACAAAUGCAGAACUAAAAAUGGAUCACUUAUAAUCCAUAAUUUUACAUAAGGAAAAUACAUAAUUUUUCAUAAUUCAUGCAACACAUGCAUAAUAAAAAAAAAUGGGUUACAUAUAAACCACAUAGGCAUAUAUGAAAAAGAAACAAAUUCCUUUUUUUCUUUUUUUUUCUUUUUUUUUUCCGAGUCAACGGUCAACGGUCGUCAACGGUCAACGGGUCGCCGGUCGUCGGACCGGUCGCGCCGGUUGGGCCGCCGGGUCGGUUCGCGCAGACCGCCCGCACGUGCCGCGCGCGUGCGCUGGCUGACGUCACGCAGACGUCAUCCGGCACGUGCCGCACGCGUGACGGGGUCCGCGAGUCGCCGGUCGGGUCGGGUCGAGUCGCCGGCCGGUCACCGGCCGGCCACUGUCGUCGUGCUGACGUCAUCAAUGACGUCACCCCAGCGGUUAUUUACCAUUGGAUGACGUCAUGCUGACGUCAGCACGCGUCGGUCCGUGGACCGGCGUGUGCCGGUUCGCCGGCCGCCGGCGCGCAUGUGCCAGUUCGUCGCCGGCGCGUGUGGCGCACGCGCUAGCCGAUGCCAGCACUUGGGGCGCAUCACGCCCACGCGCAGCGGCUUCUGGCCGCGCGUGUGGGCGCGUGCAGCGUCUCCCAGUGGCGCGCGACAUGUCACCGGAAUCGUCUCGACGUCCUCUUUCACCCAAUGCCUUCAUAUUUCGAUUUCGACUUACGAAAACUCGGAAAAAUGGCCGAACAGCGCUCGGGUGUCGGGAUUUGUCGCCCGAUCCUUACGGCCGAAUUGCUUUUGCGAAAAAAUCAAUCAAAACAACAGCAAUCAGGUCGGGAAAACGUGAACUAGGGCUCUGAUACCAAUGUAGGGAAUAACGGAUCCCCGAAAACCGGAUUCGACACUAAAUCGAACCCCUAAAUCAAAUGCGGAAGAUGAAACCCGGGAAAACACGUAUCACCGAUCGUAAAGCACACCACGGAUUCGAGCGUACCUUGUUAGCCACAAAUUAAACACCAAUGCUGAAGAAGAGGAAGAAAUUCUGAUUCGAUGAUGUCAAUCGAAGGGAAGACAGUGCCGUUUGCCUUACUGUCCUUUUUGGAGAGAGAGAGUGUGCGCGAGAGAGGGGAGAACGUACGUAACUUCUGUUUCCAACAGAUGCGUCCUCUCUCUCUCUCUCAUCCCUUUUAUACGUUCCCCCAUCCACGGGCCCUAUUCCCAUGGGCCGGGCCCUUUUGGGCCCAACUUGAGCGGAUGGGCCUUAAGCCCAUCUCAUAAAUCCAUCACAGGGCACCCUUAGCCCCUCAUUAAAUCCACCCAUAUUGUGAGACUAAACAAGGAGAAAACUCAGGAGGGCAUUGGGAAUAUAUACUGCUGGGAGAGUUGAUUACUUAAUCAGUGGAGGUUAGGGAAAUGAAGAAAAUAAGAAAAAUAGAAACCAACCAUUAGUAAUGAGGGCGAGGAUAUGGACAUGGAUGACCCAUUUAGCGAGAAUGGUUCGGGAAGGCCUACCAUUGCUGGGGGAGAGCUCACUCUCAAUUUAUUUUUAUUUUUUUAGUUGGGUCAAAAGCUAACUCUCAUCCAUCCGUGGGUAGUUGCAUCGGUUGAGAGUCCUUCCCUCAUAGCUGAGGUCGAGAAUUAGAAACCCGCAGUUGCUAGCGAUUUAAGUGGGGGCUUUGGUGGUGGAUUGCUGGGCUAGUCUCGCUCGAGGUAUAGGGGCCCGGCUCUCGAGAGCCGUUCAGGCACGAGGGGUCCAUGGUGGAGUCAUCGGUUACCAAAAACAAAAACUAAUUCUCAUUGAGAUAGCGCGAGCAAAAAUGCUUAGAGAAAAAGAGUUUGCCCAUUUUGGCUGUUCACUUUUCUAAUUUUUAAAUGACAAUUUUUUAUUUAACGACUCACAAAUUUGAUUGCUAUUUCCUUUUGAUUGUUUCCUUUUCAAUUGAUUACGAAGAUUUGAUAUUAGAUUUUAUGAAUAUGAAUAAUCAACACUUUGAUGAACGCAGAGAUCAACGUAUAUGCAUGUACUUUCAAAUAGAUGAUUACAUAAAACCACUGGUCAAAGGCAUGAUUGGAGCAAAUAUGGAGAUUUCCUGGAGGCGAUUGCAUAUGACCUUAAUAAAUCUGAACCUUUGUUAUUAUUGAGUCUCAUGUGAAAACCACAUAAUAUAAGAGUUGAGAUUCAUUAGGGGAUAUGCAUUUGAGAAUGCCUAAUGAAAUAUAGGCAUCAACACGUUAGCUUUAGUUAAUUUUACAUGUUUAAUUUGUAACCAACCAAUAAGAGACACAAUUAAUGAAAAUCUCCUCGAUUAGGAAAGUCCAUGCAUCAAGAGGAUGAGGUCCAUGUAAGAGAGAAGAUGUGCAUUACACUGCUCCAACACAACAACUUGUAAUAUUGGAUUAAUCAAUAUACACCCCCUAAGAAAACUCAUUCAGUAAAUAUUGUGUACAUUCGGAAAUCAGAUGCUUUUCUAUCUAGCCUUUUCACUUGAUUAUCUACAUCUUUUAGUGGAGCAGGAAAGCAUCUUCUCUUCAUUAAAAAUUUUAGUGUUAGUAAUCGUUCAUAAUGCAUGUGCUCUUCACCAAAGAUUAGGAGCCUUGACUAUGGAGCACGCAUGUAGAGAUGAAAAUUAGCCAUUUUCUUCUUGUCCAUGAGUGGACACAACCCAAUGAUGUUGCCUUGACGAGGGGGCGCGGUCCAUUGGAAAGAAAAGAUGCCCGCCUAAGUCAAUAACUUUUACUAUUUAAUUAGUCAACAGACUGACUUGAUCAUUAAACAUUUCGGAUUCGAAAUCGUUCAGAAAUCAUAUGCUCUCCUCCCAAAAAGCACGUGCUCUGCCUUUUCGUUUGCUUAUCUAAUUCUUCUUGUGCAGCAGGUUGGCAUCCUCUCUUCAUUUUUCUAUAUAAGAUUUCUAUGGGGAAAGGGCAAAGUCUGAGCAAAAUAAAAAGAAAUAGAGCGCAAAAAAAAGGAGCACUGAGGGAGGAAAUCGAGAAUGAUUGCUGAGAAAGAGAUCACUAAUGGAGCAUAUGCUUCUUCGUCCUUACCUUCGAUACUCACAGGAGGAG
rnacentral:lncRNA from 1 species